rnacentral:rRNA from 1 species
AUUGCCCUAGUAACGGCGAGUGAAGCGGCAACAGCUCAAAUUUGAAAUCUGGCUCUUUCAGGGUCCGAGUUGUAAUUUGCAGAGGGCGCUUUGGCGUUGGCAGCGGUCCAAGUUCUUUGGAACAGGACGUCACAGAGGGUGAGAAUCCCGUACGUGGUCGCUAGCCUUCGCCGUGUAAAGCCCCUUCGACGAGUCGAGUUGUUUGGGAAUGCAGCUCUAAAUGGGAGGUAAAUUUCUUCUAAAGCUAAAUACUGGCCAGAGACCGAUAGCGCACAAGUAGAGUGAUCGAAAGAUGAAAAGCACUUUGGAAAGAGAGUCAAAUAGCACGUGAAAUUGUUGAAAGGGAAGCGCUUGCAGCCAGACUUGCCUGUAGUUGCUUAUCUGGACUUUUGUCCGGUGCACUCUUCUGCGGGCAGGCCAGCAUCAGUUUGGGCGGUUGGAUAAAGGUCUCUGUCAUGUACCUCCUUUCGGGGAGGCCUUAUAGGGGAGACGACAUGCAACCAGCCUGGACUGAGGUCCGCGCAUCUGCUAGGAUGCUGGCGUAAUGGCUGUAAGCGGCCCGUCUUGAAACACGGACCAAGGAGUCUAACAUCUAUGCGAGUGUUUGGGUGUCAAGCCCAGACGCGUAAUGAAAGUGAACGGAGGUGGGAACCCUUUGGGUGCACCAUCGACCGAUCCUGAUGUCUUCGGAUGGAUUUGAGUAAGAGCAUGGCUGUUGGGACCCGAAAGAUGGUGAACUAUGCUUGAAUAGGGUGAAGCCAGAGGAAACUCUGGUGGAGGCUCGCAGCGGUUCUGACGUGCAAAUCGAUCGUCAAAUUUGGGCAUAGGGGCGAAAGAC